rnacentral:rRNA from 1 species
CAGUCGCCGCGGGAAUACGAAGGGGGCUAGCGUUGUUCGGAUUUACUGGGCGUAAAGCGCACGUAGGCGGACUUUUAAGUCAGGGGUGAAAUCCCGGGACUCAACCCCGGAACUGCCUUUGAUACUGGAAGUCUUGAGUAUGGUAGAGGUGAGUGGAAUUCCGAGUGUAGAGGUGAAAUUCGUAGAUAUUCGGAGGAACACCAGUGGCGAAGGCGGCUCACUGGACCAUUACUGACGCUGAGGUGCGAAAGCGUGGGGAGCAAACAGGAUUAGAUACCCCCGUAGUCCCUGUCUCUUAUAC